rnacentral:rRNA from 1 species
AGUGAUGAAGGUCUUCGGAUCGUAAAACUCUGUUAUUAGGGAAGAACAUACGUGUAAGUAACUAUGCACGUCUUGACGGUACCUAAUCAGAAAGCCACGGCUAACUACGUGCCAGCAGCCGCGGUAAUACGUAGGUGGCAAGCGUUAUCCGGAAUUAUUGGGCGUAAAGCGCGCGUAGGCGGUUUUUUAAGUCUGAUGUGAAAGCCCACGGCUCAACCGUGGAGGGUCAUUGGAAACUGGAAAACUUGAGUGCAGAAGAGGAAAGUGGAAUUCCAUGU